rnacentral:rRNA from 1 species
GACGAACGCUGGCGGCGUGCUUAACACAUGCAAGUCGAACGAUGAACCCGGAGCUUGCUCCGGUGGAUUAGUGGCGAACGGGUGAGUAACUCGUGAGUAACCUGCCCUUGACUCUGGGAUAACUGCGGGAAACUGUAGCUAAUACCGGAUACGACCCUCGGCGGCAUCGCCAGGGGGUGGAAAGAAUUUCGGUCAAGGAUGGACUCGCGGCCUAUCAGCUAGUUGGUGAGGUAACGGCUCACCAAGGCGACGACGGGUAGCCGGCCUGAGAGGGUGACCGGCCACACUGGGACUGAGACACGGCCCAGACUCCUACGGGAGGCAGCAGUGGGGAAUAUUGCACAAUGGGCGCAAGCCUGAUGCAGCAACGCCGCGUGAGGGAUGACGGCCUUCGGGUUGUAACCUCUUUUAGUAGGGAAGAAGCGAAAGUGACGGUACCUGCAGAAAAAGCACCGGCUAACUACGUGCCAGCCGCCGCCGUAAGAC